rnacentral:rRNA from 1 species
UGGGCACUCUAAGGAGACUGCCGGUGACAAACCGGAGGAAGGUGGGGAUGACGUCAAGUCAUCAUGGCCUUACGGCCUGGGCUACACACGUGCUACAAUGGUCGGUACAAAGGGUUGCCAAGCCGCGAGGUGGAGCUAAUCCCAUAAACCGAUCGUAGUCCGGAUCGCAGUCUGCAACUCGACUGCGUGAAGUCGGAAUCGCUAGUAAUCGUGAAUCAGAAUGUCACGGUGAAUACGUUCCCGGGCCUU